rnacentral:rRNA from 1 species
UGCUGAAGCAACAAAUGCCCUGCUUCCAGGAAAAGCCUCUAAGCAUCAGGUAACAUCAAAUCGUACCCCAAACCGACACAGGUGGUCAGGUAGAGAAUACCAAGGCGCUUGAGAGAACUCGGGUGAAGGAACUAGGCAAAAUGGUGCCGUAACUUCGGGAGAAGGCACGCUGACACGUAGGUGAAGUGAUUUACUCAUGGAGCUGAAGUCAGUCGAAGAUACCAGCUGGCUGCAACUGUUUAUUAAAAACACAGCACUGUGCAAACACGAAAGUGGACGUAUACGGUGUGACGCCUGCCCGGUGCCGGAAGGUUAAUUGAUGGGGUCAGCGCAAGCGAAGCUCCUGAUCGAAGCCCCGGUAAACGGCGGCCGUAACUAUAACGGUCCUAAGGUAGCGAAAUUCCUUGUCGGGUAAGUUCCGACCUGCACGAAUGGCGUAAUGAUGGCCAGGCUGUCUCCACCCGAGACUCAGUGAAAUUGAACUCGCUGUGAAGAUGCAGUGUACCCGCGGCAAGACGGAAAGACCCCGUGAACCUUUACUAUAGCUUGACACUGAACAUUGAGCCUUGAUGUGUAGGAUAGGUGGGAGGCUUUGAAGUGUGGACGCCAGUCUGCAUGGAGCCGACCUUGAAAUACCACCCUUUAAUGUUUGAUGUUCUAACGUGGACCCGUUACCCGGGUUGCGGACAGUGUCUGGUGGGUAGUUUGACUGGGGCGGUCUCCUCCUAAAGAGUAACGGAGGAGCACGAAGGUUGGCUAAUCCUGGUCGGACAUCAGGAGGUUAGUGCAAUGGCAUAAGCCAGCUUGACUGCGAGCGUGACGGCGCGAGCAGGUGCGAAAGCAGGUCAUAGUGAUCCGGUGGUUCUGAAUGGAAGGGCCAUCGCUCAACGGAUAAAAGGUACUCCGGGGAUAACAGGCUGAUACCGCCCAAGAGUUCAUAUCGACGGCGGUGUUUGGCACCUCGAUGUCGGCUCAUCACAUCCUGGGGCUGAAGUAGGUCCCAAGGGUAUGGCUGUUCGCCAUUUAAAGUGGUACGCGAGCUGGGUUUAGAACGUCGUGAGACAGUUCGGUCCCUAUCUGCCGUGGGCGCUGGAGAACUGAGGGGGGCUGCUCCUAGUACGAGAGGACCGGAGUGGACGCAUCACUGGUGUUCGGGUUGUCAUGCCAAUGGCACUGCCCGGUAGCUAAAUGCGGAAGAGAUAAGUGCUGAAAGCAUCUAAGCACGAAACUUGCCCCGAGAUGAGUUCUCCCUGAGACUUAGAGUCUCCUGAAGGAACGUUGAAGACGACGACGUUGAUAGGCCGGGUGUGUAAGCGCAGCGAUGCGUUGAGCUAACCGGUACUAAUGAACCGUGAGGCUUAACCUUACAACGCCGAAG